GGGUGCGAUCAUACUAGCACUAAUACACCGGAUCCCUUCAGAACUUCGCAGUGAUGCGCGUUUGGACGAGAGUAGUACCAGGAUGGGUGACCUCCCGGGAAGUCCUCGUGUUACACCCC
rnacentral:rRNA from 1 species